GUAGGUGAACCUGCGGAAGGAUCAUUAUUGAAAUAAACCUGAUGAGUUGCUGCUGGUUCUCUAGGGAGCAUGUGCACACUUGUCAUCUUUAUAUCUCCACCUGUGAACCUUUUGUAGACCUGGAUAUCUCUCUGAAUGCCUGACAAAUUCGGGUUUGAGGAUUGAUUUUUUUCUUUCCUUGCGUUUUCAGGUCUAUGUUUUUUCAUAUACCCCAUUGUAUGUUUAUAGAAUGUAAUAAACAGGCCUUUGUGCCUAUAAACUUAUACAACUUUCAGCAACGGAUCUCUUGGCUCUC
rnacentral:misc_RNA from 1 species